rnacentral:rRNA from 1 species
CCUACGGGGGGCAGCAGUAGGGAAUAUUGCUCAAUGGGCGAAACCCUGAAGCAGCAACGCCGCGUGGAGGAUGAAGGUUUUCGGAUUGUAAACUCCUUUUGUUAGAGAAGAUAAUGACGGUAUCUAACGAAUAAGCACCGGCUAACUCCGUGCCAGCAGCCGCGGUAAUACGGAGGGUGCAAGCGUUACUCGGAAUCACUGGGCGGAAAGAGCGCGUAGGCGGGAUAGCAAGUCAGAUGUGAAAUCCUAUGGCUUAACCAUAGAACUGCAUUUGAAACUGUUAUUCUAGAGUAUGGGAGAGGUAGGUGGAAUUCUUGGUGUAGGGGUGAAAUCCGUAGAGAUCAAGAGGAACACUCAUUGCGAAGGCGACCUGCUAGAACAUAACUGACGCUGAUGCGCGAAAGCGUGGGGAGCAAACAGGAUUAGAUACCCUAGUAGUC